ACUAAUAAUAUUAUAUUUUAGAACUAAACAACUUUUAUAGCCUAGAUUAGCACCGCGGCAACAGAAACAGCCACUAGAGGGAACCUUCACUCACAUUUGUCGAUUAAAAAAUAUGUUUCAUUGCACAUUGAGGGGUCCCCUGGUAGCCUCGGGGCCCUCAGAAGUCUCCUAGUUUGCCUAAACCAAGGACCGGCCCUGCACACCACGGCCAGUUUUCCCAGGAGCCAACUAACCUACCAGUAGGACUGUGGGAGGAAACCGAAGCACCUGGAGGAAACUGAACCCAGGGCCACAGUGCUGUGAGGCAGCAUGAUAAUCAUUGCAUUGCUGUGUCUCUUUUAACCUAAUAAUUAGCUCAUUUAUACUAAUAAGAGCUGAGUUAGCGUGGUAGACUGCUAAUAAUGAUUUAGAUAAUGAUUAAUUGUUUUUGAUUGUUUUUGUGUUAUGUUGAUUAAUUGAUCUUAGUGAACUCAAGUGAUUUUGUUGCAUAAAUAUUCAGUCACCUGACCAGCUACAGGAAGCCAAUUGGUCAGGUGACUCUUUAAAAGAGCAAGAAGAUGAAGCUUCCAGUGUCAGUGUGUGUGAGUGGAUGGCUGCUGUCUGAGGAGAUGAGUCCAGAACCCCCUGUUUUUACCACUGACCAGAGCUCCUACAGUCCCCACAGUGACCCCCUCAGCUCCAGGGACUGUGACAGAGGAGGUCACUGCCACAGCGCUGACAGCCAGCAGCACCACAGGCAAAGGAAACGAGUCCCUUAGUACAUCACCACCAGACCACACAACCAGCCUGAAAGAUGACCACAAAG